CGUUGGGAACUAGUUGUGGGGUCCAUUCCACGGAUUCCGUGACGCAGCUAACGCAUUAAGUUCCCCGCCUGGGGAGUACGGCCGCAAGGCUAAAACUCAAAGGAAUUGACGGGGACCCGCACAAGCGGCGGAGCAUGCGGAUUAAUUCGAUGCAACGCGAAGAACCUUACCAAGGCUUGACAUACACGAGAACGCUGCAGAAAUGUAGAACUCUUUGGACACUCGUGAACAGGUGGUGCAUGGUUGUCGUCAGCUCGUGUCGUGAGAUGUUGGGUUAAGUCCCGCAACGAGCGCAACCCUCGUUCUAUGUUGCCAGCACGUAAUGGUGGGAACUCAUGGGAUACUGCCGGGGUCAACUCGGAGGAAGGUGGGGAUGACGUCAAAUCAUCAUGCCCCUUAUGUCUUGGGCUUCACGCAUGCUACAAUGGCCGGUACAAAGGGCUGCAAUACCGCGAGGUGGAGCGAAUCCCAAAAAGCCGGUCCCAGUUCGGAUUGAGGUCUGCAACUCGACCUCAUGAAGUCGGAGUCGCUAGUAAUCGCAGAUCAGCAACGCUGCGGUGAAUACGUUCCCGGGUCUUGUACACACCGCCCGUCAAGUCA
rnacentral:rRNA from 1 species